UACGUAGGGUCCAAGCGUUAAUCGGAAUUACUGGGCGUAAAGCGUGCGCAGGCGGUUGUGUAAGCCAGAUGUGAAAUCCCCGGGCUUAACCUGGGAAUGGCAUUUGGGACUGCACGGCUAGAGUACGGCAGAGGAGACUAGAAUUCCUGGUGUAGCAGUGAAAUGCGUAGAUAUCAGGAGGAAUACCGAUGGCGAAGGCGGGAUCCUGGGCCAGUACUGACGCUGAGGAGCGAAAGCGUGGGGAGCAAACAGG
rnacentral:rRNA from 1 species